rnacentral:tRNA from 1 species
AGGAUAGUAGUUAAGUAUAACAUUUGGGUUGCAUUCAAAAAGUAUUGAUUUUUCAAUCUAUCUU